UUCAGAUUCUCUUCAUCAUCAGAAAACAUGACCAAUGGCCUGUGGCUAAGCUCUACAGAGAAAAAGGCCAGCAGAAUUACAUAAGGCUUGCUAAAUGGAGCCCAUGACAACAUCUAAGUAAGAGCCAACUCACUCACAGCCCAUCCAGGGAACUUCAACAAAAUGAAGAUGAGGCCUCAAGGAGUUACUCAGCUUGCUCAAGAUCACAGAAUUGGUGAAGCUAGUAUUCCACACUCAUAUUCUAAGGUUCCAGUCAAUGUUUGCCAAUCAAAAAACAGGCACAGAGAUGAUAGUUACUUGCCUGAAGUUCAUACAGCUGGACAUUAGCAACAUUGAAAUAUUAAUCUCCUAAGGGGAGGAACCAGGACUUGUUACCCUUGGUAAGCAUCCCACAACCAACCUCUGGUAGGUACUCAGCCAUGUAAAGAAUGAAAAGACAAAGAGAAAUAUUCCAAAGCCCUGGAAUCUGUUUUUCAGUGAACUAUGUAAUAUUGUAACUGAAAGAUUAAAAUCAUGGU